UACAGAGGGGGCAAGCGUUGUUCGGAAUUACUGGGCGUAAAGGGCGCGUAGGCGGCCUGCUAAGUCGAACGUGAAAUCCCCGAGCUCAACUCGGGAACUGCGUCCGAUACUGGCAGGCUUGAAUCCGGGAGAGGGAUGCGGAAUUCCGGGUGUAGCGGUGGAAUGCGUAGAGAUCCGGAAGAACACCGGUGGCGAAGGCGGCCUGCUGGGCUAUGGCUGACACUGAGGCGCGACAGCGUGGGGAGCAAACAGG
rnacentral:rRNA from 1 species